rnacentral:rRNA from 1 species
GUAGGUGGCAAGCGUUGUCCGGAAUUAUUGGGCGUAAAGCGCGCGCAGGCGGUUCUUUAAGUCUGAUGUGAAAGCCCACGGCUCAACCGUGGAGGGUCAUUGGAAACUGGAGAACUUGAGUACAGAAGAGGAAAGCGGAAUUCCACGUGUAGCGGUGAAAUGCGUAGAGAUGUGGAGGAACACCAGUGGCGAAGGCGGCUUUCUGGUCUGUAACUGACGCUGAGGCGCGAAAGCGUGGGGAGCAAACAGGAUUAGAUACCCUGGUAGUCCACGCCGUAAACGAUGAGUGCUAAGUGUUAGGGGGUUUCCGCCCCCCUUAGUGCUGCAGCCAACGCAUUAAGCACUCCGCCCUGGGAGUACGGCCGCAAGGCUG